rnacentral:rRNA from 1 species
GACGAACGCUGGCGGUGUGCUUAACACAUGCAAGUCGAACGGAAAGGCCCUGCUUUUGUGGGGUGCUCGAGUGGCGAACGGGUGAGUAACACGUGAGUAACCUGCCCUUGACUUUGGGAUAACUUCAGGAAACUGGGGCUAAUACCGGAUAGGAGCUCCUGCUGCAUGGCGGGGGUUGGAAAGUUUCGGCGGUUGGGGAUGGACUCGCGGCUUAUCAGCUUGUUGGUGGGGUAGUGGCUUACCAAGGCUUUGACGGGUAGCCGGCCUGAGAGGGUGACCGGCCACAUUGGGACUGAGAUACGGCCCAGACUCCUACGGGAGGCAGCAGUGGGGAAUAUUGCACAAUGGGCGGAAGCCUGAUGCAGCAACGCCGCGUGCGGGAUGACGGCCUUCGGGUUGUAAACCGCUUUCGCCUGUGACGAAGCGUGAGUGACGGUAAUGGGUAAAGAAGCACCGGCUAACUACGUG